rnacentral:sRNA from 1 species
AUCCUUCGAGAGAUCUCAUUUCCAAGAUUCCAGAAAAUCUUUCAAUGCUCAAAUCAGAGUUCUAUAGCCAAGUCAAACGAAGGUGACUGUUAAGACAGAACUUGAGAUAGACAGAUUAAAGAGGAAAGAAGAGAUCAGAAAUAGAAGCUAACCAAAAUGGCCGCUUAGAGAGUGAUAUUACUGUUGAAAUGUUAUAAGAUAAGGAACCCUAAUGAGAGAUUCCCAACUUAAAUACAUCCAGACUUUAGGAUAACAUAAACUUAAACGACGUCGCAUUAAUAGAUAAAGAGAGAGAGACUCUGUUUGUCUCAGAGUCUCUAGUGACCAUAGCUUCCUUUCUUCACUUUAGCCACUUCUUGUGUCUUUCUUCUUCAACUCCUUUCUUGCCUUACGACCACCUGUCCUUGCCUUCCUCUUCAUGAAUGCCAAAGGAACCCGUAGCUUAUCAUUACCCCGGAAAGAGAAGCAACCUUGUCCACAAGGUUGAAAUCAGGGAAUUGCUCCAUCAUCACAGUAACAGGUUCCCAAGUCGCCUCAAACUCCGGAAGCUCUUUCCACAUCACCAACCCUUCUGUCUCUUGUCCCUUAACCGGUAGCCUGACAUCUAACACCCUUUCUGGUUCAACCACCCACUCAAAAGUCGGUGUGAGCAAGGCUGGUAUUUCCUGCACCGUGUAGUCAGCUGGUACAACUUUCUUCAGCUGAGAAAUGUCAAACACCGGGUGAAUCCGGCUCUGAGCAGGCAGCUGUAACUUGUUAGCGACUCUCCCAAUACGCUCUAUGAUAACAUAAGGCCUGAAGUAGCGCUGUGCUAGCUUCUCAUUUCUUCUGCCCACAACUGUUUUCUGCCUAUACGGUCUGAGCUUUAGAUAGACCUAAUCCCCAACUGUGAACUAAACACCAAUAAUGUCGUUGUAGUAUUUUAGGUUGUCAAUCCAAAUGGGUGUGAUGCUAACAAUCAAGAUGUGAUCAGAAGUCACUAAGUCAAGCCAAGCAAUAACAGGUUUUGGUGUGUUCUAGCAGUUCUAAGUGAACAUGCAGAAAACAGAAAUUCAAGCAGAAACAAUAAAACACUCGACCAACACAGCUCUUUGCAGAGCACUGGGUGAGGUCGAGUGACAGGUCGGGUAACAGACAGAAAGUAUAACAGGGAUACUCGAGUGCACAGUCUGUUGCCAGACAACUGGGUGGUCGAGUAUCAGGUCGAGUAACAGUAAAGAAUUGCAGAAACUAAGCAACAGAUGACAAGAUGCAGUAAACAACAGUAGAGUAAACAAAGAAUUCAAUUAGACAAAGAAUUCCCGAGGAUGGGGUAAUUGAGUAGUUUCGUUUCCUCAGUUUAAACGUGGUUGACAUGCUCAAUAAAUUAACCCUAGACAACAAGUUCAUUAACCAAAUCUAAGUGCCACCGCAACAGAGACUCUCAAGUUAACCUAGUCCUAGACUCAAUCACCAUUGACGAGAGUUAACCUAACAAACAUUACGAAUCAACAAGUUAAAGCCAAAACGCUCCCUGCAACCAAUACCUUGGUACAGGGUCACGAAUCUCUGGAAUUAGUGGUUCAGACAUUUCAUCGAACACCUUUUGGGCGCGGAAAUGUCUGGGCUCAAAUUCCAGUUGAUCAGAAAGCAAUAGGCAUUAAGAACAACUAAUCCAGAAGGGAUCUAUCAAUCAAUACUCAAUCACCUAGCAUACUGAGAAUCCUACACUACUCUAACCCAUCCUCAGAAACCUAUUCACUACUCAGACAUCAUAACAGAAAGCAUAAACGUUGAACAAGUUGAAAACAUGAUAAAAACAGUGUAACAGCAAGAUGAUAACAGAAUGAACAACAGUAAACGAAAUCAAGAACAAAAGCUGAAUACUGAAUACUGAAUAGAUAAAGAGAAAUCCGGAUUACAAAAGGUCUAGAACACAAGGUUUGCGGAAUAAAACUAGAUAAAAACUUGUCUGCGAAAAUGUGAAGUACAUGCUACUUAUAGCCAAAUAUUCUGAAACCCUAAUUCUUUAAACGACGAAGUAUUGGGGCGGAUUAAGAACUGUACUCGACCCAUGUGGUCGAGUGGGAGGUCGAGUGAAUAGCUGGAGUCUUCUUUUCUUCCUUGUGCUCGAGUGUAUGGUUGAGUGCGGAAUGAAGAAGGCUCUGAAGCUUUUCAUCGAGUAUGCAGUCGAGUGGUGGUGAUGGUGAUACUCGACUUCCAGGUAGAGUGAAGAGGUCGAGUAGUGGUCUGGCAAUGAAGGUGAAGACACUCGGCCUCGUGGUCGAGUGAUGAGACCGAGUGAUGGUCAGGUGAUGGGAUGAAGACACUCGACCUCGGGGUAGAGUGAUGUGGUGAAGUAGUGAUGUCCUCUACUCAACCAGGGGGUCGAGUGAUCUGUUGAGAUCUUGAAGCUCCUACUCGACCUCGGGGUCGAGUGGUUUGACAUGAUCAGGCCCGCUUCUUCCAGACAGCUCGUCAACAGCUCCAAAUCACCUGAAAUCAACGCAAAUAUGCAACAUGCAUGCAAAUCUAUCCUAAACAUGCAAAGUGAUGACAAAUGAUGAGAAAUGGUAUAAAACAGUGAUGAUAUGAUGCUAAACUGAUGACAAAUGGAUGCUCAAAACAUGCAAAAUACACACUUAUCAUUGGCUGACUUCUGCAUUCUUCUCUGAGCUAACUCCAUAUUUUCCCUCAGUUCUUGCAGCAAGCUAUCACGGUCUCUGAUGAGUUCCUCGACUUGACCAUUAACCGUUGAAAUAUCUCCAUACCUCAGUAUUUUUGGUGGUUCUCUCCCAUAAACUGCAAGGAAGGGUGUAGUUCCCGUAGUGGUGUGAUAAGAAGUGUUAUACCAGUACUCAGCCCAAUGAAGCCACUGCAGCCAAGAUUUCGGUUUCCUGCCAGCAAAACAACGCAGAUAAGUCUCUAAACAGCGGUUCACGACUUCUGUCUGCCCAUCGGUUUGAGGGUGAUAGGCAGUGCUCCUGUGAAGAAUGGUUCCUUGUGACUUGAACAAUUCAGUCCAGAAGUUACUCAAGAAGACUUUGUCCCUGUCUGACACGAUGUUCUCGGGAAAUCCGUGCAACCUUACUAUCUCCUUGAUGAAAACUUCAGCAACUGUCUUAGAGCUGAAUGGGUGCUUCAAUGGUAUAAAGUGUCCAUACUUGCUGAGACGGUCUAUCACCACCAGUAUCACCGAGUAACCAUUCGAGAGGGGAAGUCCUUCUAUGAAAUCCUUCUUAAUUGUGUCCAUAUCUGCUGAGGAAUGGGUAAGGAACAUAGUAAACCCGCUAGAGAUAGUGUUGAAUACUUAUUCUCCUGACAAAUCUGGCACGAAUGAUGUACUUGAUCACAUCCUUCCUCAUUCCUUGCCAAUACACCUCCUUAGACAUCCUCUGAAAAGUUUUUAAAACCCCUUCAUGCCCUCCUAUCUCACUGUCAUGAAAUUGCCUUAUCAGCUUCUGAACCAUUGGUGACCCUCUUGGUAUGACCAGCCGACCAUCCUUGAACAGAACCCCUUCUUUAGUGGUGUAUCCCGUGGUUUUCUCUCCUUCCAUUUCACACCUUUUAAUCAGCUUAAGUAACUCUGGAUCCUCCUUAGUCCAUAUAGCCACUUCUUCUCGGUCUAUAGUUUGUGGAGCACAGAGAACCAACUAAUUGACUUCUGGUACCCGUGGUUGUCUUGACAAGGCGUCAACAACUCUAUUUUCCACCCCUGGUUUAUACUCUAUCUUGUAUGUUAACCCAAUCAGCUUUGCAGCCCACCUCUGUUGCACUGGUGUCAAAGACUUCUGAUCCAACAAAUGUUUCAAACUGCUUUCGUCGGUCUUAAUGACAAACUCCCUCCCAGCUAAAUAAUGUUUCCAUUUGGUGACCGCCUUGACGAUAGCCAGCAGUUCUCGCUCAUACACAGACUUAACUCGACCCGUUGAUGAGAAGGCUUGGCUUAAAAACGCUAUGGGUCUCCUUCCUUGAGAUAGAACUGCCCCAAUUCCUGUCCCAGAUGCGUCAGUUUCCACUAUGAAUUCUUGUUCAAAGUCAGGUAAGGCUAACACGGGUAAGCUGGUGACCGAUUCCUUCAACGACUCAAACGCUUGUCCUGCUUGUUCAGACCAUUCAAACCCUUCCUUCUUUAGCAAAUCA